AACCUAUGCAUCGGACACUUCGUUAGAAAAUCCUUAAAUCUUUUCCAUUCUUCAUACAAGCUUUCAUCUUCCAAUUGCUUAAAUGGAGUAAGGUCAUUUCGAAGUUU